ACAUCGAACUCCCAAACGUCCUAAACAGACAUAGUCAUCUCGCAAAGAUGACUCUCGUACAUCCGACACAAGGAUAAUAGCGCUAUAAAAGAAAUCCGAAAUUUUGGUCCAGCACUUCCGGUUGGCUUAAAAAUUGUCUCCGGAGAGAUGCUCGAUUCAUAUCAAACAAGUCGUAUAAGCCGAGAACCUAUCACAGACUUUAAACUGGUACAAAUCAGGAAGAAAUUGCAACAUGAAAAAC
rnacentral:lncRNA from 1 species